CCUACGGGGGGCAGCAGUGAGGAAUCUUGGUCCAUGGGCGGCAGCCUGCACCCGCCACGUCGCUUGCAUGAUGACGGCCCUACGGGUUGUAAACUGCUUUUAUACGGGAAUAACGCGCCUUGUGUAGGGCUUUGCAUGUACCGUAUGAAUAAGGACCGGCUAAUUCCGUGCCAGCAGCCGCGGUAAUACGGAAGGUCCGGGCGUUAUCCGGAUUUAUUGGGGUUAAAGGGAGCGUAGGCAACAUGCCAAGCGUGCUGUGAAAUGUCCGGGCUCAACCCGGGCCUUGCAGCGCGAACUGGCGUGCUGGAGUCCGCGGAAAGCAGGCGGAAUUCGUCGUGUAGCGGUGAAAUGCUUAGAUAUGACGAAGAACCCCGAUUGCGAAGGCAGCUUGCUGCAGCGGAACUGACGCUGAUGCUCGAAAGCGCGGGUAUCGAACAGGAUUAGAUACCCCUGUAGUC
rnacentral:rRNA from 1 species